rnacentral:rRNA from 1 species
GCAGUCGAGGGGCAGCACGGCACUUCGGUCUGGUGGCGACCGGCGCACGGGUGUGUAACGCGUAUGCAACCUGCCUUAUACAGGGGUAUAGCCCAUGGAAACGUGGAUUAACACCCCAUAGUAUCAUGAAUCUGCAUGGAUUUAUGAUUAAAACUUCGGUGGUAUAAGAUGGGCAUGCGUAGGAUUAGCUAGUAGGUAGUGUAACGGACUACCUAGGCGACGAUCCUUAGGGGUUCUGAGAGGAUUAUCCCCCACACUGGUACUGAGACACGGACCAGACUCCUACGGGAGGCAGCAGUGAGGAAUAUUGGUCAAUGGACGCGAGUCUGAACCAGCCAUCCCGCGUGCAGGAUGACGGCCCUAUGGGUUGUAAACUGCUUUUCUACGCCAAGAAACCUGGUUACGAGUAACCAGCUGACGGUAGCGUAGGAAUAAGCAUCGGCUAACUCCGUGCCAGCAGCCGCGGUAAUACGGAGGAUGCAAGCGUUAUCCGGAUUCAUUGGGUUUAAAGGGUGCGCAGGUGGGCUUGUAAGUCAGUGGUGAAAUGCUGCCGCUUAACGGUAGAACUGCCAUUGAUACUGCGAGUCUUGAGUAUGGUUGAGGUAGGCGGAAUGUGUUGUGUAGCGGUGAAAUGCAUAGAUAUGACACAGAACGCCGAUUGCGAAGGCAGCUUACUAAGCCAUUACUGACGCUGAGGCACGAAAGCGUGGGGAGCGAACAGGAUUAGAUACCCUGGUAGUCCACGCCGUAAACGAUGUUCACUCGCUGUCUGCGAUACACA